UACGUAGGGUGCGAGCGUUGUCCGGAAUUAUUGGGCGUAAAGGGCUCGUAGGCGGUUUGUCACGUCGGGAGUGAAAACUCGGGGCUUAACCCCGAGCCUGCUUCCGAUACGGGCAGACUAGAGGUGAUGCAGGGGAGAACGGAAUUCCUGGUGUAGCGGUGAAAUGCGCAGAUAUCAGGAGGAACACCGGUGGCGAAGGCGGUUCUCUGGGCAUUACCUGACGCUGAGGAGCGAAAGUGUGGGGAGCGAACAGG
rnacentral:rRNA from 1 species